rnacentral:rRNA from 1 species
AAAGGAAUAGACGGGGGCCCGCACAAGCGGUGGAUCAUGUGGUUUAAUUCGACGCAACGCGAAGAACCUUACCAGGUCUUGACAUAUCGGGCAAAACUCUAGAGAUAGAGCUAUAAUUAUUCCGAAUACAGGUGGUGCAUGGUUGUCGUCAGCUCGUGUCGUGAGAUGUUGGGUUAAGUCCCGUAACGAGCGCAACCCCUAUCUUUAGUUACCAUCAUUAAGUUGGGGACUCUAAAGAGACUGCCGGUGAUAAACCGGAGGAAGGUGGGGAUGACGUCAAAUCAUCAUGCCCCUUAUGACCUGGGCUACACACGUGAUACAAUGGCAUAUACAACGGGAAGCGAAGCAGUGAUGUGGAGCAAAUCCUAAAAAGUAUGUCUCAGUUCGGAUCGUAGUCUGCAACUCGACUACGUGAAGUUGGAAUCGCUAGUAAUCGCAGAUCAGAAUGCUGCGGUGAAUACGUUCUCGGGCCUUGUACACACCGCCCGU